rnacentral:lncRNA from 1 species
UUAAUAGGGCAGCACUGAGUACAUUGCCUCACUGAUGCUGCAAUAAAUAUCCCUUUCCCCAGCACGAAGAAACACUGUCUGCACCAGGCUGCUGCUGCCAGGGGAUAGAGCAGGGGCAUUGUUGGUGAUUCGAGAAGGUUUUUCCCACCUCUUCAGUGACUCUUUCAGCGAUAUGAAGUUAAAACCAGUCCUGGAUGGAGUAGAAGUAGUUUUGUGAAGAGAGAGGCAAGUGGGCAACCUUAUCAACCAGCAUUGACUGAGUCUGAUGAAGCCUAAGUGCCAAAGCUCCAUAUGAAACAGCGGUAACAAUACAAGGCCAAAGAGACCCGCACUGAAGAGGACAUACCUCCUCCAGGCCAAGUAAAUAACGCUAAGAUUGUCAACCUGAAAUAAUUGAAUAUUAAAGCAAUGCCAAGUGUGAGCUUCUAUUGCAAUGCAAAAGGGCAUAUUUUUCUAUCUACUUUAGAGUGUUCUAUGUUCCAAUAAAAUUCUUUGGGCUUUGUGCUAGUAAGAAAUGUAACAAACCUGCAUGUUCUGCAUAUGUAUCCCAGAACUUAAAGUCAAAUAAUAAAAAAAAGAAAUACCAAUGAAAAAUGACCCCCCCCCCCACUAUUUAAAACUAGAAAAUAAUUUUACUUCUGCUAGGCUCAUUUCUAUCGGCACCACCUACCCCUUAAACACCUGCUUUUAACCAUGUAACAAGAUGCAUUGUUAUUUGUCCCUCUCUUCCUUUAUGUUUAUAUAGAGUGGUUUUCACUUAAAAUAUCUGAUGAUUGCAGAG